CUCGUUCUUCCGGGAGAAAUCUUUCCGCAAGUCGCGAAGGUAGCUCGUGUCACUUGCGACGGGUGGCAAGUCUGCCAAGCUGGGCUCGAAAUGGACCUGGAGAGGGGAGGAAAAUUGCGUAUUUACAUACCUCAUUUUUGUCAUGCUUGGAGGAAAGGAUCAAGGCUGGAUGGGAAGAUUUCACUUUUUGGGAAGAAAUUUUCUGGAAAUUCUGGAAAUAUUUAGUGAAUAUUUGUAAAAUUAAGUUAGUUUAAAUUUUCUUGAAAUUAUAAAAAUAUUUUGUGAUCAUGUGGAGAGAAAUUUCGAAAGAAAGUGACAACAAAAUUGAAAUUUGUAACUAUUCUAUGGAAUGUUUAGAAAUGUAACGUUUCAUAAUUUUUUACAUGUUGCUGAUUUUUGGUCUUCUUAUUUUUUGGAGUAUUUUUCGACUUCGAGACAGAUUUUGGAACAUUGUCUUUCGUAUUGUGAAAUGGAAUUUCAAUUUUUGUAUCCGAUUCAUCCCCAAUCGCGUGCCAUUCUUGACCAUCCCAUUUUAUUUUCUUCCACUCGAUCGCAUUCUAAAAUUUAGAGAGAAAAAUAGUAAUGUCAAUUAUGUAAAUGUGUAAUGAUGUUUAAUGGAAUAAUUAAUUAUAUACGUACAGAAUUUGGUGCUUUACGAGCAUUAGUUAUACUUAAUAUAAUUACGAAAAUUGGAAAACAUGACAAAAUUAGGCGUAUUUUCUGCAUUAUAAUUGCUAAAAUUUAACAAAAUAUGACAGAGUUUGACGACAAAAUUGUUAAAAUACGAAAAACUGAGAAACUAGAGUUAAAUACAGGUAAAUCGGUCUGAAUUUGAAAUGAAUGAUGUGUUAAAUUUCAAUUCUGUAUUUAUUGAACGUAUUGUUUUGAAACCUUGAAACUUUUAAAAGAAAAUUACGAAAUAGAUUAUGUGUUUACCGGUAACUUUCUCAUUACAUGAUACAAUUUGAAGAAUAAUGAAACAAUGGAUAUGUCAAAAUUCUUUGAUCGACUUUAAAUACGAAUGUGUAGAGGUAUGUAUAGUGAAUAUUAAUUAGAAAUCAUGCGAUGUGAUAGAUUUUCGGGAAAUUUUGGGAAAUAAUAAUGUAAGAAAAAUAGAAUACAAAAUCUGCCCAAUUUUUAAAGUUUAUUAAAAACUGAGAGCAAAUUUGGUUGAAUUAAACGAAAAAUCGAUUUUGAAGAAAUUAAACUAAAAUUAUUUUAAAGCAGGUUUGAGGAUUCCUCCAUCAUGGAAGUUUAAAUUUGUCCAAUUAAAAAUGUAAAAAAAAUGUGGACCGUAUUCGUAAAAUGACGGAAUCAAAAGUAAUAAAAUAACUCAGAUAACAUAAUAACAAAUCAGAUUAACCAAAGUAAAUUGAAAAUUUAGACGGAGUAUUAAUUUGUACAAUUAUUUAAAUUGAGUUUUAAUAAUAUUACCGUUCCAUAGUUAAAGAUGAUUUGUGCACACAGAUUACGGGUUUCGCUUAAUUUGGAAAUUUUAAAACUUGUAAUAAUUUGUAGGUUUACAAAGGUUUGCAUAGAUCAAAAGCGUCUUAAAUCCAUUUCAAUAACCUAGUACGAUAAAUCACGUAGCAAAAUCUUUAUAAAAAUUAUUACCGAUAUACGACUUCAAUAUUCUUAAUAAAAUAAAAUUAAGUGUAGAUUUACAUUUAAAAUUGAUCACAAAAAAAUUAUUUAUUAGCGGAUCAUGAUAGAUGAGCAUUUUUAUUCGUGUAAAAUAUUUAUAGCAAAUUUGCAAGUCGACAAAGGGCUUAAUGACUCGUUAAAAAAUCGCAAAAAUCAACACAUGUGUAAUAAUUUCUCAGAUCAGGGAAUUUUUAAAUUUUUGGAUGACGAAUUUGUAAAUUUGUAAUCGUAAGUUGAUAUUUCUGAAGGCUUUUUAAACUUUAAAUCUCCUCGUUCAAAAACUGUCAAAAUCCGGAGUGUAUGCUUUUUAUUGACAAUAACCUACUCUAAAAAGUUUUGUGGAUCAGAAUUUUAAAAUAAAUUUCCAGAGCAGAGAAAUUAUUUUAAAUGUUUUGAUUUUUACGAUUUUUGAAUGAGUCAUUAAGCCCUACAUACAUGUAUGUCAAUUUGCAAAUUUAGUGUAAGUAUUUUAGACAAUUAAAUAUGCUCAUCUAUCAUUUUCGACUUUUAAGUAAUUUUUUUGUGAAGUUCAAAAUCCGUAAUAAUUUUUACAAAGAUUUGCCUACGUGCUUUAUCGUACUAGGUUAUGUGAACGGAGUUAAGAGUAUUUUUUAUUAGUUUUGAAACUGCUUAAGGGGAUGUGGGAGGAAAGGGGGAUUGGAGAGCAUGUCAUCGAGUGGCCGAUGGAUUGACUACAGUGCAGUGGUCAACUGGUCGCUCACUCGAAUUUGCCUCACAAGCUCCAUCUGCAGCGAGUGAUGCAAAAUUUAACCGCAAUUACAUUAGCCGUAUGACCGAAUUAUUUUAUUAUUUAACACCAGUUGUUUUUAUUUUGGCGUAAAAAUCUUACGAAAUUGUAUAAUUUGAACGCCAAAAUGAAAAUAACAGGUGUUCAAUAAUAAAGUAAUUCGGAUCAUUCGGGUAAUGUAACGCAGAUCCAGUGGAACUAUUACAAGAAUUUGAAAAAACGCAUUUUUUUAAUUUUCAAACUCUAAUUUCUUGGCGAAUAAACCUUCCACCUCGAGUGUUUUGACAGUUUUGGAAUCAUGAAUUGUUGUGCCACGAUAGUACGACAUGUUGCUCAUGCCAAAUUAUAAGGUGGCCCUCCUACGUGACAAAUUCCGCAAAAAUUACAAAGAGCCAGUUCUACAUGGAUUGAAAUCUAUAUUCUCGUAACCAUGGUCGUACUAUUGUUGUGCAUAAAUUUCUGAAGAGAAUGACACCAAGUUAUCCAAAUUUGAUAGUCUGUAACCCAUAAAUUUACAACGUUUGUCAAAAAAAGAAUUACACGAAGGCUUAUGCAAUGUGAGGGUGGACGUAGUUCAAACAUAGCGGAUAAAGAUCGAUCGAUACUAAUUUUUGGGAAGAUUUUACUACGUUUAGUUAACCUAGGUAGCCGGCUCGUGAUUUGUAGAGUAUUAGUUUAAUUUAAAAAAAUCAAAAAUCAAAAAAUGUAAUAAAUAAUGUCAAAGUUGAAAAUUUGCAUAGCAUUUUUGCAUAUUAUUUGUUCAGAAAUAUGCACCGAUUCUUUUGUUAUAUUUUGACUAUAGGCGAUCAAAUCCGAUUUUUAUAACCUGACUCACUCAGUUUAAACUUAAAGUUGAGCUAAAUUUAUCCUUAGGAUUUUUUCUUUGAUUAAAUGAACAUUGAAAAUCGUGCAAGAAUUUGAGAAAAACUUAAGAUUUCUGA